rnacentral:lncRNA from 1 species
UUCUGUCUGUUACCCUUUGGAGUCGACUCGGAACCGUCGGAAGUCGACUCGUCAAGCAUCGGAGUCGACUCGAAGCCUUUUGGAGUCAGCUCGCUGACAGGGUCUGAAAACCAUCUUUCUGUCUUUCUUUCUGUUCUCAGUCGGAGUCGACCCGUAGAGUAUCGGAGCCGACUCGAGCUCGUGCCAGAAACUCUGAACCAUUUGGAGUCGACUCGUAAUCUUCCGGAGUC